UAACAUUUGAACUGAGCAUGGGUGCU
rnacentral:piRNA from 2 species